rnacentral:lncRNA from 1 species
GGAGCAUUGUAUUGUUUUUAGCCAUUUUUACUUCUUUAUUUAAAAGUAUUUUUUAACUGAAGUAUAGUUGUUUUUAGUUUUAAAGCUUAGAAGUCUGCAACAGGAAGACUGUUGAAACUGAUCUUGGACCACUCCAUGAUUUUGUAAUUAAGAACCCAAAGCCCAGAGAUAAGUGAUGCGCCCUUGGGCUUCACAACCAGGUGAGGCUGACCUGGCCUUGGAAUUGCUGCUUCCAGACUCAACAUUGUGUUUGAAGAAAGCCAAGCCUGUGUCAACCAGGAAGAAGGUGGUAAUCGUGGCAGUGGGUACAUACAGUGGCCUUUAUGGAAUAAAACAGAGUCAUUGUUUCUCAGCCCAAGGCUUUUGCAAGAACACAGAGUCCAGCUGCUGCUGCUCUACUGACUGAGGUCCACGCAAUAGCCCUAGACGUUCUCAGUUUAAGGCGAACGGCUCUGGGCUGGUGAAUUAGGUAUCAAACACACACUGGAACAAUCCUUGAAACACGUGCCCACACUGAUCAAGGAGGAAUUUUUGGUGAGAAAGAGUAGACCAUGUAAAAUGGUAGUUCUCAAACUUAACUGCAAAAUGACAUCACUUGAAGAGCUCUGAUAGAUCCAAAGCCCAGGCCAUAGCCCAGACCAAUUACACCUGAAUCUCUGCAGGUGGAUCCAAACAUCACCAUUUUUGAAGCUGCCCAGGUGAUACCAAUCUAUAACCAAGCUUAAGUCAGUGUCCUGAAGCAGCCCUUCUGAUAUUUAUGUAUUUGUGUAUUUAUUUAUUUAUGUAUUUUUUUUUUGUCUUUUGUCCUUUAUGCACCCAUGGCAUAUGGAGGUUCCCAGGCUAGGGGUUGAACUGGAGCUGCAGCCACCAGCCUACACCACAGCCACAGCAACACGGGAUGUCUGCAACCUACACCACAGCUCACGGCAAUGCCGGAUCCCCGACCCACUGAGAGAGACCAGGGAUUGAACCCAAGUCUUUAAUGGUACUAGUCGGGUUCAUUAACCUCUGAGCCACGAUGGGAAGUCCCCCUUCUGACAUUUUAAAU